rnacentral:rRNA from 1 species
UACGUAGGGGGCAAGCGUUGUCCGGAAUCAUUGGGCGUAAAGAGCGUGUAGGCGGCCCGGUAAGUCCGCUGUGAAAGUCCAGGGCUCAACCCUGGGAUGCCGGUGGAUACUGUCGGGCUCGAGUCCGGAAGAGGAGUGUGGAAUUCCCGGUGUAGCGGUGAAAUGCGCAGAUAUCGGGAGGAACACCAAUGGCGAAGGCAGCUCGCUGGGACGGUACUGACGCUGAGACGCGAAAGCGUGGGGAGCAAACAGG